rnacentral:lncRNA from 1 species
GUGUGACAACCCGUAAUUCGCGAUCCUACAAAUCCAUUUAUUCAGCGUGCACUCGAAAUCAUUUGUUGGACCUCACAUAACCGACCCACUUGUUGUAUGUGACAAUCGGACUUUAUGGGCUUUAGCAAGCCUGUGCAAGCCUCGUAUACUCUUUAACGGGUUAGGCCCAUAUAUCAUGUUCGCCAAAACAAACCCACUGGCCCAAUUAUUGUUUGUGCGAGUUGUUGAAGAAAAGGGAACCGGCCCCUCAAGUAUCCUUGGCCCACUACAAUCCCAAAACCGCCCCACCUAAGUUUCCUCUUUAUAUGUUACGUAAACUUGCAUGACUCCAUUAUCUAAUAUCCAUCGCACAACUCUCACAUAAACUAACCCUAAUUGCCCAACUCUUUCUCCUCGGGUGUACGACUGACGACAGUGGGUCUCAUCAAGGUUUCCUUCACUUGUUCGUAUCUCUUCUGCUCCCGGACGUGGGUAAUCAGCCGUUAAACAAGUAACUAAUCAUACCGAGCAAACCCAAGGUGAUUACUGAAGGAACUUGGGAGCUUGCUAUCUGAUGCUGCUGGAGUGGUGAUUACUGAAGGAACUUGGGAGCUUGCUGUCUGAUGCUGCUGGAGUGGUUGUGGUCAUAAUAAACAGUUAUCUUAAUUUGCUUUUGAUAUAUUACACAUUGAUACUUUUAUGCUUCCGCUCAGUACUUUGGUUUUUGGUUUAACUUUCAAACAAUACAUUUCUUUUAAUUGAGUAUUUCAG